rnacentral:piRNA from 1 species
UUGGUUGGUGUGGCAUUUGGUGUUGCUUGC